rnacentral:lncRNA from 1 species
AUGAAGACUGCUGUGGGAAGCCACCAGGUGCAGCAGCAGAUAGCUUGUCACUUGGCAGACAGCACAACAGCCCUGCUGGCACUCGUAGCCCACCGGGGAUUAUCACUGUGCAUUGGUGCAUGGAGGUUUCUGAAGCGUGCAGAGGCGAGCUGCUGGGAUGUCAGGGAGCUGCGCAGAGAGCGAGGCUGCUGUAACUGUUUGCUGUUGCUCCUGUUGGUAACCAAAUGCCACCAGCAGAUGAAAUCCUUUGAUACCUUGCUGCUGCUUCUGAACAGCUUCCCCACCAUGGCUGCAGAAGUCAACAUUAGGAGCUUAUGCAGAAUUUUAGAUACAGCUGUGAAAGGUUCAAACUAUUUAAAGGAAAAGGAAGUAAAAAAGAAAGAAAGAAAGAAAGAAAGAAAGAAGGCAAGCACACCAUCCCCUGCAUCUAAAUGAAACUUGGGUCACAGAUGCAGAGAAG